AAGGACAUGAGACCCAGAGGAAUAACCUGGUGAUGGACAGAAGAUGGAAAAAUUUCUUACAUGAAUGAAUAUUUUUCAGGAACACAUAACAAAGGAAGAUAUCGUAAAGUGGUGUCACAUGAUGGAAUGAUUCCCAGCCAUUCUGCAUCAUACAUGCAUGCCUGUUCCUGGAUGUUUCUCUGCUCAGUGACUUGGUGCUUCCAGCCUUAAGCCAUUGCAACUCCCUGAGCUCAAGAGAGGAUUAGACAGAUAUUACCCAGAGACAAAGACCACAGACAUUUCACAGGAUGUCUCUACCAGAGGUUUUAUCAGAGAAUCCUUAUAUCUACCCAUGCCUAACACAUACCUCUGAAGAUUCCAAACUUACCUUCAAGAGAAUCAGCAUCAUGCAUUAGAAAGAGCAGUAGGGUCUUGAGUCUGCAGGCUGGGACUUCAGCAACUGUACUUGCCCUAAUUGGUGAGCAGUAACCUCUGUGAGCUUCAGUUUUUAUACUUAUCUACAUGCAUAUAAUGAGUAUUAUAAUAUUCAGGAUUUGCAAUAUUUGCUCUACAAAAUUGUUGGUCAGAUGAUAUGUAAUAAUGUAUCUCAUAUAUUUGGGGAUUUUUAAGCACUAAACACACAUCAAGCCAGGGUUUUCUAUAUGGCCAGACUUAACAUUUUUGUAGCUUUGCUCCCAUGAAUGUGUUAACUUACUGCCAUUGGUAAUAUUUGAAAAUAAGGAAAAUUGUAGGGAACUUUUUACCAACAAACUAUGCGGUUACAAAUAAAUUACUUAGGGUAUAUUGAUAACUCUAAAGAAAGGAAAAACAGAAAGCUUCAUUAAUAAAGAAGGAAACUCUAUGCACAAUAAG
ensembl:lncRNA novel transcript, sense intronic to ENOX1